AAAAAAGUGAGGCUAGAAUGCAUAAAUAGUCUGGCACCAUUCCAUUCCCAUUCAACAGUUCACAAAUUAUAAAAUACAUUCAGGGAACACGAUCAAAAUGGCCUCCUCGUGAAUCAGGUCCAUAAGGGUUCCAGCUACAGUUGUAAAUGUGUCUUAUCACUGAAAUUGUACCCCUCUAAGAAAAAUGUAAAUAUUUUGCAAAAUUUGGACAAAGUCUUACAUGGACUGUGGAAUGAUAUUCAGUUUCAGUAAUUUUCUGCCUAAGUUUGGGCAAUUUUAUUUAUUUUUGUGGGAGAUUAGCAUAUUGAGUUUGGACUGCUAGUCCAUCAAGAAUGUGACACCUCAGAGAAACAUGUACUUUGUUUUUAGUUUAAGCCUUGAAAAUGUAUAUAUAAAUAUAACUCAAAAGUACAAAUCAUUUGGUGCCGAACAUAUCAUUUUCUAUUCUUGAAACCAACAACAUCAGAGUUAAAUGCAUAUACGGUCAUUCUAUAAACUUGGGGUCCACUUUUUUCCUGUCCCUGUUACAUCUGACAUCUAUGAUUUUAUCAUUCUGAUGCACUUAUUAAUACAGUCAUCGCCCAAUAGUGAUUAUGAAUAGCAAACUACCUACCCAACAAAUAAAAACAAAUUUGAAGUCAUUCUUAAUGAUACUCCAACGGCAAAGUACCAAGGUAACAGGGACAGGAAAAAUGUCGCACUUUGGACCCUAAAUUUGCAGAAUGGACCCAUAUGCAGUGUUAUUUUGGAAACAGGACACAGACAUUCAACAUUGUAUAAGUGAUCAUAUUGAUGCAAAAAUGAGAUUUUAAGUACUCUUCUUUUGUUUUGGGGAAAAAAAUAUGUUCUGCGAGACUUUUCAAUUUGGGUAGUUAUAAAAAAAAAAGGAAUAUGGAAGUCUAGUAAAGCUGGUUCCAGAGUACACACAAUUUUAUUCAAUUGAUUCAGAGGAACGACUAUACACUGACAAAGUGGGCUGAAUUCAGACCAUGCAUUGAUGUUACAGGGUAAUCCUAUAUGAUAGCACUGCCCGGGUCACAAGUGAGUCACUGAAUCAGUCAGUCAGUCAGUCUGUGAGAUAGGUCCAAAGAGGACACCAGGCAGGCUUUCUGGGACCAGCAAAUAUGAUUUAUAUCACACUGUAGCUGAUUCAUUUUCAUGAUUUGCAGAAUGUGGAAUUACAGUAAUAUAUUUGGGCCAUUACAUGAAAUUUACAUUGUGCAUGAACUUGCCAUAUAUGUUAUUCUCACAGUAUGCAAUUAUUUUAAUUAUGCACUGUAUUAAGUGAAGUAUUAAUCUAAUUUGCACACGACUGCUAGCUUUCCCCAGCAUUGCAAUGUGCUAUAAAUUACAUGCUGUCUAGCCUUUUUUUUUUAUCCCCCUGGCUUUUAAGCUAAGAAAGGGGGAUCUUGCGAUAGUGAAAUCAGUGUGUCCGUGUGUUCCAUUUUGGUUAGGUUAACUGUUUAGUGCUGUCAUAGGAAAAGUCAGACUUCAAUCUCAACCAACCUUGGUGACAAUAAUCUUGGGGUAGGGGGACUUCAGAUGACUUGAGACAUUUGAGGUCAAAGGUCAUCUAGGGCUCAAAUGAGAUCAUUGUUGAUUUUGGUUAGGUCAACUCAAAAGUGUGCUUACUGACUAUAAAUACUGCCAGCAUGCCAGGGGGAUCGCGCAAGUUUAUCUUGCAGUAUUUUUAUGAAUGUCAAAGCUUGUUUGUUACCGAGUUCCAAAAUGAAUUACAACAAUGGUCAUGAUUCUCCAUUUCAUUUGUUCUCAUGAAAUGUGACCUUUGUGGUACUUCACUAUACCUAAUGGCACAGAGAUGUGUGAACAUUAACCUUUUAUUGCCGGUUUUUAUGUGCAUUGUUGCUUUCUUAACCUUAUAUAAUUCCAAUUUGUGAGCGAUCUACUUUGUAGUUGUAAAACAAUAGAGCUAUUUUUGAGAAUGAAAUAUUUAAAAUUACUAUACCUCAUACAUAUUCAUGAGUUAGAGCCAAAUUCGAACUGGUCAAUUCACCACUAUGUGCAGGACAAAAACAUUAUGUGCAGACAUAAUUGUAUAUGCCUUGUAGCCAGGGAUCAUGCCCAAAAACAUGAUGCUAGCAACAUGAGCAAUGCUGCAAACUGGGAAAUAGCAAACCAGGAUCACUGAGAUGAUACAGCUUUUUAUUACAAAUUUUCAACAACAACAAAAAAAACGCAAAGAGAAACUGAUGAGAUGCAUGGUAAUAAUUGAAGAAUAAACAAGGUGAUGACUAAGGUGAAUUAGCUUAGUGUGCUGAAUAUGUAUGAGUUGUAGUAACACAAUGACAUUUUGGGUGGACAGUUGCUAUUGGCCGCCCUGGGUACUGGUCUUGGUGCAAGACUGGAUUUAUAUUUUGUUCCUCCUAGGCAACCGAUCACCGACAGGCCUGGUCAGUUCAGAAGCUGUGGUGGUAGACAUUGUCUUUAAGAUGAAUCGUAACCACAGCCAGCCUUGGGAACUUUGGCACUUGGACCCAAGCAAUUCUGUGCACACCUCACACGCGUGCAUUAGCUCGAAUACAGGCAAUACAGCCAUGUGAAGUAAGCUUGAAUACAGCCAUGCGAGGUAAGCUUGACUGUAGCCCUGCGAGGUAUACAGCCAUGUGAGGUUAGCUUGAAUACAGCCAUGUGCGAUUAGCUUGAAUAAAGCCAUGCGAGGUUAGCUUGACUACAGCCAUGCGAGGUUAGCUUGACUACAGCCAUGUGAGGUUAGCUUGAAUACAGCCAUGUGAGGUUAGCUUGAAUACAGCCAUGCGAGGUAAGCUUGAAUAAAGCCAUGCGAGGUUAGCUUGACUAAAGCCAUGUGAGGUUAGCUUGACUACAGCCAUGUGAGGUUAGCUUGACUACAGCCAUGUGAGGUAUACUCGGAAUUUCCUGGGUUCCAGUGCCAAAGUUCCCAAGAUUGGAUGUGAUUCAUCUUGUUGAUAGCGCGCUCUACUGGCGUGGUGAAGACCGUAGUUGCGUGGGAUCUGGACUGGUUGCUUUUGAGAGUAACAAAAUCUAAUCCCAGUCUUGGACCAAGACUUCCUCGGUAUCUACAGCAGCUGUUGGUGACUAUAUCCACCCACCAAUUAUAUUUUUGUACCGUUAAACUCGGUGGUACUGUUAAACUCUGUUUACUUUCAUAAGACAGUGGAAAAUAAAUGCCAUCUUGUGUCAUGUACUUAAUGUGCUUGUACUCCACAGGAAA